UACGUAGGGGGCAAGCGUUGUCCGGAAUUAUUGGGCGUAAAGAGCGUGUAGGCGGUCCGGUAAGUCCGCUGUGAAAGUCGAGGGCUCAACCCUCGAAUGCCGGUGGAUACUGUCGGGCUAGAGUGCGGAAGAGGCGAGUGGAAUUCCUGGUGUAGCGGUGAAAUGCGCAGAUAUCAGGAGGAACACCUAUUGCGAAGGCAGCUCGCUGGGACGUUACUGACGCUGAGACGCGAAAGCGUGGGGAGCAAACAGG
rnacentral:rRNA from 1 species